AAGAACCGAAAAUGGCAGCCAUGGAUGAGCUCCAUUCGGCCAAGCUUCCAUGGCUUAUAUAGGUACGGUUUUUGUCCCGUUUUUGAAGAUUUUCGUAUUUUUAAGAUCCUCGAAGCUUAAAUUUUCUAUUUCUACCAAUUGAUUGAAGAGAAAUUAGAGUUUAAAAAUUUACCCAUUCAUGAUAUGGUUGUGUUUUGAUGAUUUAUAGUGGAUAAUGAAUGUUUGAUGGGUUAAAUAUGAGUUUUAUUCAAUAAAUUUCGGUAAAAAUGUCAAAAAGGGGUUAAAUUGUAAAAGUUAUAAAUUGGUCAUAAGUGUGUGAAUUAGCGAAAAUUUGGAGUUACCAUAGAAGAGAAAAAUGUUCAGCAUGUCUUAAACCUUAUAGAAAUUGAAUAAAAAAUUAUUUUACGAGCCUAGGGGUAAAAGUGUAAUUUUUGAAAAGUUAGGGGGCAUAAUUGUAAAUUUUCCAAAUUUUGAUAUAUGAAUUGAAUUGGUUAGUGUGUUGAUAAAAUGUGUUAAAUAAGUGUUAUUUGACAUGUUAGAUCAAGAAAACAUGAAAUUUUGGAUUAAGAUCAGAGAAGAACAAAGUUGUGUGCUAAGUUAGGAAAGUUAGCCGUUUCGGCAUUUGAGGUAAGUUGGUAUGAUAAUAAUACUGCAAUAAUGUUAUUGCCUUAAUAUUAAAUGAGAUGUAAGUUCAUAUGUAAGUAAUACAUCAAUUUUACUUGUAUUAUGAUAUUUUAUAAUAAUAUUGUAAAUAUGUUUGUUGAUAAUUACUUGAUUGGUGAAAUUGUUGGAAAAGAGAGAGAAAUUCCGGUUGAACCUUCGGAAAGAUUGAAUGAUACAGAUGGUACGUAGCUAGGUCACAUGUAUGGUGCUGAGUGCACAUCAUGUAUACAAGAAAGCUACGAGACAUUAUAAUGUAGCUAGGUCGCAUGGGUGAUACUAUGUGUACACCAUGUAGACAAGAGAGCUACGAGAUAUAUGUAGCUAGGUCGCAUGCGUGGUUCCAGGUGAAGAACACCAUGUAUACAAGAGAGCUGCGAGAUAAACUGGCUAGGUCACAUGGGUGGUACUAAGUGUUCACCAUGUGUACAAGAGAGCCGAACUAUAUGAUGGGUGGAGCUAUGUGCUGAAACCACCAAGUAUCGAGUAUUGAUCCGAAGUGUUCAACAGGAGACUUACUAUGUACUGCUUUGUGAGUUUUGUGAGGAAUAAGUGCAGGAACUUGGUUAUGUGAAUGAUGUGUUCAUUAAGUGACUGGGAUGUGGCAAGGUUAUAAACAAGUAAGUUCAUACGUAUUAAGUAUUAUUAUAUUGAGCAUUUAAUGCGUUGGAAUCAUAUAAAUGGAAUAUUUAUGAGUAUUUUAAUGAUUAAUGAUUUAUCGACCAAACGAACGGCACUUAGUGUGUGAAGUAUUGAGGAUGGCACUUAGUGUGCAAGACAUCCGAAAUGACACUGUGUAUGAAGUAUUGAUGAUGACACUUAGUGUGCGAAACAUCCGGUAUAGCACUUAGCGUGCAAGACAUCGAUUGUGCAGCGACAUUUCGUGUAAGUAUGAUUUUGUUAUGGAUCGGUACAGGUAUGUACAUGUAUGUAUGAGCUUGUUAAUAAGCAUUAUUAUAAUUGAGAUUUAAUGCUGUAUAAUUGAAUUGUUGAUGAUUAUGAUUGUACGGAAGUAUUUUAUGAAAAUUUGGCAUUGGAAAUUCCUGUUGAACCUUAGGAAUAAAUUAGGAUACAAAGGGCAUGUCAUUAAAGUUACAUUGAUUUGGCUUCGGGCCAUGAUAUUGGCACUUAGUGUGCGAGAUUCCCGAGUAUCCAAUUUCUAUUCCAAAUAGUUCAACGGGUAUAUCGAAAAUAUGAAUGAGUAAUUUAGCCUUGACAGAUUUGAGUUACUGCAGUAGUGUAACUUUGAAAAUACACUAAAAAUAGUGGAAAUUGAGUUAGAGGCAGAAUAAAAUAUGGGAUUAAAGCUUAAUGAGUCUAUAUUCACAUGAAAGAAACAGAAGAAGAAAAAGAAUUCCAUAUUGUGUGAUAUUUGAAUUCUUGUGAAACAGGGUCUUAAUGAAUUCGAGAUCCCCUAUUCUGACUUUAGAAAUUCACCAAAACUUUUACAAAAAUUAUUAAGAGUCAUACCUUACAUGCAUGGAUUCCUUAUUGAGUCUAUUUUUAGGGGAAAUAAACGGCAUGGUCGUUGGAAUUCUGUACAGGAAUAAAUUCGGUUCGUAGUGCACAGGGGUCAUAGUGGUCAUACCCUGAAACAGGGGAGGCUUUAACUAAUAAACUAUACUAAUUGGCCCAACCAAAAAUUAUAGAAAACAAUUAAUAAGUAUAAAUAUGAGUCUAGUUUCAAGAGAAAUAGACGAAAACAUUAUUCGAGUCUUGUACUAUGAGAUAAUUGAACUUUAGUACAGAAGGGUCGGAACUGUCAGACAAUGAAUCAAGGGUAACUUUGAGGAAUAAACUGUACUAUUUGGCUUAACCAAAAAUUCUGGAAAUUUUAUGGAAGAAAGGAAAAUAAGUCUAGUUUCAUGGAAAAUUAACGGAAAUUAAUUCGGAGUUUCGUAGCUCCAGAUAUAAAUAAUUUAGUGACUAUGAUUCAGGAAAACAGCCUUAGCUGAUCUUGUGUAAAAAGAUGAAAUCAUGUGAUUAAUGAUUCUAUUUUUUUGAGCAUAUUUAUUAAGGAAUGGGAUAAUAUUGUUAAUUAAAUUGCUUAUUAUUAUUAAUAUUCCAACUUACUAAGCUUUUAAGCUUACACCAUUUUCCCAUUUCUCUUAGUGUUGUCAGGUUGGCUCGGGGUUGGAGAUCGUCGGAAGUAUCAUCACACUAUUAGUUUAUCAAAUUAGAAUAAUGAUAAUUCUUAUUUAUUGUCAAAUAAGUGGCAUGUAUAGAUAAUAAGUUAUUGAUAUUAGGUAAUAUUAUGAUUUAGCCAAAUGUAUAGGCUCAUUUUGCUUCAUUGUAUAUAGCCAUAAGAUUUGGCUCAUAAUGGUUAAAGUUAUGUAAACCUAUUUUAUGUAUGCAUAGAUAAAUAUCUUGGUGUGGCUAAGUUAAGAACACAAAAAGGGCUUGGAAAAUAGCAUAUGAUACACAUGGGCUUGAGACACGGCCGUGUGUCUCAACAGUGUGAAGAACACGGCCACCACACAGGUGUAUGGUCUAGCCGUGUAAGCAAGUCAGUAGCUAGCUAAUUUUUACACGGGGUCUAGACACGGGCGUGUGACCCUGCUUUGGUAAAAAAAAAUUACUAAGUGUCUGAAAGAUUUCGGUUUGUUUCCAAACCAAUUUCAAUGAUUGUUUUGGGCCUCGUAGGCCCUUAUAAGGGACAAAUUAUAUAUGUUUGAAAAGUUUAAAAUUUGAUGAAAUUUUAUGUCUUAGUUUUAAAUGAUUACAAGUACUUAAGUCCAGUAAUACCUCGUACCCUGUUCCGGCAUCAGAUACGAGUAAGGGGUGUUACAUUUAGUGGUAUCAGAGCCAGGUUUAGUUUAGUCGAUUCUCGGACUAACAUAGCAAGUGUGAGAGUCUAGUUAUACAUGCCACAAAUAUGUGAUAGUGUUAUGUCUCCUGACGCUAAUGAGGACCAUUUUGUUUAAAAUGAAGUAUUCUCCAACCGAGCUGCAUCUGAUCAUUUGAUAGCGAUAUUAAAGUAUUUGAAUAAAGUGUAGCUAUGAUGUGUUAAACUCGAAAAGGUAUGAAUAAGAGUUAGUGAUAUAUGUAUAUGUGAUAAUAUGUGAGAUGGAAGUUUAUAUAGUGAUAUAUUAAUUCAUAUUUGUUUAGCCUUCAUAUGUUGUUGCAUGCUUGACUAAAUUGAUUAGUAAAUGUGAUUACUAAAGUUAUUCAAAAUUCAUAGAAUGUAUGAGUGAGUGCACUUGUUUGAAAUGAGAUAAUUGGGAAUUUUGUGUAAGACAGAUAUGAAUAAUAAAUUGUUUGAAGUGGAUAGUAUAAUUAUAAUGACAUAUGUGGAUAAUGAAAAAUGUGUCAUAUAGAUAUAUGUGAGAAUCGAGUUAAAGGCUGUACGACAUCACCCCCUUACUGAUGAGGUGGUUAUAACGAAAAUUCACGAGAAUCAUGUUGAUUAAGUUCCUAAGUGUGGAAUCAAAGAGUUCAGUGAUAAAUUAAUUAUAGAUAUGACCAGAGGCUGAGAAUGGUUGACAAGUGAAUGACAGAGUUAGAGAAAUAUCAGAGUUGACUGAGUUAUCUUGGGAUUCAAAUUGAUGACCGAGUGUUUCUGGAAGUAUCGCCUUGAAAACAAUUAGUUAGUGAUGCUGGAAAUUAUGAGAAAGAUACUAAACCUCACUCCGGUAAGAUUUUCGAGGACGAAAAUCUCCAAAGGGGGGAGAGUUGUAACAGCCCAAAAUUAGGUCUAGUCGGAAUAGUGGUUUCGGGACCACAAACCCGACGAGAAAAAAAUUUUAUUUUUAUUAUAUUUUUAUAGUCUAUAAAUUUAUGAAAAUAUUUUGUAAAAAUUUCAUUCGAAAAUUUUGACGUUUGGGCACUUAAUUUAGUCAAAAGGACUAAAUUGUAAAAAGUGCAAAAGUUGAGUUCUUUAUAUAUGAGGUGCCUAAUUGUUAUGAGUUUUAAAUUGAAAGUCCUUAUGUGAUAAUUAUUCCUUUAAUAAGUUAGUGAAUGGAUAUUUUUUUGGUAUUUUUGAAAUUUGGUUGAAAUAAAAAGGGUAAUUUUGUAAAUUAAUUAAAAUAACCUAAUAAGACAAAAAUGAUAAAAGCUAUCAUUUUUUUUUUCCAUUCUUUCUUCUUCAACCGUGGGAAAGAACCGAAAAUGGCAGCCAUGGAUGAGCUCCAUUCGGCCAAGCUUCUAUGGCUUAAAUAGGUACGGUUUUUGUCCCGUUUUUAAAGAUUUUCGUAUUUUUAAGAUCCUCGAAGCUUAAAUUUUCUAUUUCUACCAAUUGAUUGAAGAGAAAUUAGAGUUUAAAAAUUUACCCAUUCAUGAUAUGGUUGUGUUUUGAUGAUUUAUAGUGGAUAAUGAAUGUUUGAUGUGUUAAAUAUGAGUUUUAUUCAAUGAAUUUCGGUAAAAAUGUCAAAAAGGGGUUAAAUUGUAAAAGUUAUAAAUUGGUCAUAAGUGUGUGAAUUAGUGAAAAUUUGCAGUUGCCAUAGAAGAGAAAAAUGUUCAGCAUGUCUUAAACCUUAUAGAAAUUGAAUAAAAAAUUAUUUUACGAGCCUAGGGGUAAAAGUGUAAUUUUUGAAAAGUUAGGGGCAUAAUUGUAAAUUUUCCAAAUUUUGAUAUAUGAAUUGAAUUGGUUAGUGUGUUGAUAAAAUGUGUUAAAUAAGUGUUAUUUGACAUGUUAGAUCAAGAAAACUUGAAAUUUUGGAUUAAGAUCAGAGAAGAACAAAGUUGUGUGCUAAGUUAGGAAAGUUAGCCGUUUCGGCAUCUGAGGUAAGUUGGUAUGAUAAUAAUACUGCAAUAAUGUUAUUGCCUUGAUAUUAAACGAGAUGUAAGUUCAUAUGUAAGUAAUACAUCAAUUUUACUUGUAUUAUGAUAUUUUAUAAUAAUAUUGUAAAUAUGUUUGUUGAUAAUUACUUGAUUGGUGAAAUUGUUGGAAAAGAGAGAGAAAUCCCGGUUGAACCUUCAGAAAGAUUGAAUGAUACAGAUGGUACGUAGCUAGGUCAUAUGUAUGGUGUUAACUGCACAUCAUGUGUACAAGAAAGCUACGAGACAUUAUAAUGUAGCUAGGUCGCAUGGGUGAUACUAUGUGUACACCAUGUAGACAAGAGAGCUACGAGAUAUAUGUAGCUAG
rnacentral:lncRNA from 1 species